GGGUUGUGAGGUUAAGCGACUAAGCGUACACGGUGGAUGCCCUGGCAGUCAGAGGCGAUGAAGGACGUGCUAAUCUGCGAUAAGCGUCGGUGAGGUGAUAUGAACCGUUAUAACCGGCGAUUUCCGAAUGGGGAAACCCAGUGUGUUUCGACACACUAUCAUUAACUGAAUCCAUAGGUUAAUGAGGCGAACCGGGGGAACUGAAACAUCUAAGUACCCCGAGGAAAAGAAAUCAACCGAGAUUCCCCCAGUAGCGGCGAGCGAACGGGGAGGAGCCCAGAGCCUGAAUCAGUGUGUGUGUUAGUGGAAGCGUCUGGAAAGGCGUGCGAUACAGGGUGACAGCCCCGUACACAAAAAUGCACAUAUUGUGAGCUCGAUGAGUAGGGCGGGACACGUGGUAUCCUGUCUGAAUAUGGGGGGACCAUCCUCCAAGGCUAAAUACUCCUGACUGACCGAUAGUGAACCAGUACCGUGAGGGAAAGGCGAAAAGAACCCCGGCGAGGGGAGUGAAAAAGAACCUGAAACCGUGUACGUACAAGCAGUGGGAGCCUCUUAAUGGGGUGACUGCGUACCUUUUGUAUAAUGGGUCAGCGACUUAUAUUCUGUAGCAAGGUUAACCGAAUAGGGGAGCCGAAGGGAAACCGAGUCUUAACUGGGCGUUAAGUUGCAGGGUAUAGACCCGAAACCCGGUGAUCUAGCCAUGGGCAGGUUGAAGGUUGGGUAACACUAACUGGAGGACCGAACCGACUAAUGUUGAAAAAUUAGCGGAUGACUUGUGGCUGGGGGUGAAAGGCCAAUCAAACCGGGAGAUAGCUGGUUCUCCCCGAAAGCUAUUUAGGUAGCGCCUCGUGAAUUCAUCUCCGGGGGUAGAGCACUGUUUCGGCAAGGGGGUCAUCCCGACUUACCAACCCGAUGCAAACUGCGAAUACCGGAGAAUGUUAUCACGGGAGACACACGGCGGGUGCUAACGUCCGUCGUGAAGAGGGAAACAACCCAGACCGCCAGCUAAGGUCCCAAAGUCAUGGUUAAGUGGGAAACGAUGUGGGAAGGCCCAGACAGCCAGGAUGUUGGCUUAGAAGCAGCCAUCAUUUAAAGAAAGCGUAAUAGCUCACUGGUCGAGUCGGCCUGCGCGGAAGAUGUAACGGGGCUAAACCAUGCACCGAAGCUGCGGCAGCGACACUAUGUGUUGUUGGGUAGGGGAGCGUUCUGUAAGCCUGUGAAGGUGUACUGUGAGGUAUGCUGGAGGUAUCAGAAGUGCGAAUGCUGACAUAAGUAACGAUAAAGCGGGUGAAAAGCCCGCUCGCCGGAAGACCAAGGGUUCCUGUCCAACGUUAAUCGGGGCAGGGUGAGUCGACCCCUAAGGCGAGGCCGAAAGGCGUAGUCGAUGGGAAACAGGUUAAUAUUCCUGUACUUGGUGUUACUGCGAAGGGGGGACGGAGAAGGCUAUGUUGGCCGGGCGACGGUUGUCCCGGUUUAAGCGUGUAGGCUGGUUUUCCAGGCAAAUCCGGAAAACCAAGGCUGAGGCGUGAUGACGAGGCACUACGGUGCUGAAGCAACAAAUGCCCUGCUUCCAGGAAAAGCCUCUAAGCAUCAGGUAACAUCAAAUCGUACCCCAAACCGACACAGGUGGUCAGGUAGAGAAUACCAAGGCGCUUGAGAGAACUCGGGUGAAGGAACUAGGCAAAAUGGUGCCGUAACUUCGGGAGAAGGCACGCUGAUAUGUAGGUGAAGCGACUUGCUCGUGGAGCUGAAAUCAGUCGAAGAUACCAGCUGGCUGCAACUGUUUAUUAAAAACACAGCACUGUGCAAACACGAAAGUGGACGUAUACGGUGUGACGCCUGCCCGGUGCCGGAAGGUUAAUUGAUGGGGUUAGCGGUAACGCGAAGCUCUUGAUCGAAGCCCCGGUAAACGGCGGCCGUAACUAUAACGGUCCUAAGGUAGCGAAAUUCCUUGUCGGGUAAGUUCCGACCUGCACGAAUGGCGUAAUGAUGGCCAGGCUGUCUCCACCCGAGACUCAGUGAAAUUGAACUCGCUGUGAAGAUGCAGUGUACCCGCGGCAAGACGGAAAGACCCCGUGAACCUUUACUAUAGCUUGACACUGAACAUUGAGCCUUGAUGUGUAGGAUAGGUGGGAGGCUUUGAAGUGUGGACGCCAGUCUGCAUGGAGCCGACCUUGAAAUACCACCCUUUAAUGUUUGAUGUUCUAACGUGGGCCCCUUACCGGGGUUGCGGACAGUGUCUGGUGGGUAGUUUGACUGGGGCGGUCUCCUCCUAAAGAGUAACGGAGGAGCACGAAGGUUGGCUAAUCCUGGUCGGACAUCAGGAGGUUAGUGCAAUGGCAUAAGCCAGCUUGACUGCGAGCGUGACGGCGCGAGCAGGUGCGAAAGCAGGUCAUAGUGAUCCGGUGGUUCUGAAUGGAAGGGCCAUCGCUCAACGGAUAAAAGGUACUCCGGGGAUAACAGGCUGAUACCGCCCAAGAGUUCAUAUCGACGGCGGUGUUUGGCACCUCGAUGUCGGCUCAUCACAUCCUGGGGCUGAAGUAGGUCCCAAGGGUAUGGCUGUUCGCCAUUUAAAGUGGUACGCGAGCUGGGUUUAGAACGUCGUGAGACAGUUCGGUCCCUAUCUGCCGUGGGCGCUGGAGAACUGAGGGGGGCUGCUCCUAGUACGAGAGGACCGGAGUGGACGCAUCACUGGUGUUCGGGUUGUCAUGCCAAUGGCACUGCCCGGUAGCUAAAUGCGGAAGAGAUAAGUGCUGAAAGCAUCUAAGCACGAAACUUGCCCCGAGAUGAGUUCUCCCUGAGACUUAGAGUCUCCUGAAGGAACGUUGAAGACGACGACGUUGAUAGGCCGGGUGUGUAAGCGCAGCGAUGCGUUGAGCUAACCGGUACUAAUGAACCGUGAGGCUUAACCUUACAACGCCGAAG
rnacentral:rRNA from 1 species